UACGGAGGGUGCGAGCGUUGUCCGGAAUCACUGGGCGUAAAGGGCGCGUAGGCGGCCUGAUAAGUAGGGGGGUGAAAUCCUGUGGCUUAACCGCAGGGCUGCCUUCUAAACUGUCAGGCUUGAGCACAGUAGAGGCAGGUGGAAUUCCCGGUGUAGCGGUGGAAUGCGUAGAGAUCGGGAAGAACAUCAGUGGCGAAGGCGGCCUGCUGGGCUGUUGCUGACGCUGAGGCGCGACAGCGUGGGGAGCAAACAGG
rnacentral:rRNA from 1 species